rnacentral:hammerhead_ribozyme from 1 species
AUUCAGCUGACGAGUCCCACUUAGCUAUUGAGUCCUGAUAAUUACUUGCUUGUGCAAUUUCUGAAGAGAACAUCAACUCUGGGAUGUAGGCACAUCCUGCUGAUGGGUCGCAAAUAGGACGAAACGCGCGUCAAACCGGAU